CGGCCUGUGAUACAGACCUAUUUAUGCCAGAGUUUAGAGUUAAGCAGUUCCUUCAAAGCCGUUAUCAGUCGAUUCCGCUUCAAAGACGAACCUUCUAAGUACCUCCCAUAAGUAAUGUUUCUGCAAGCAGUCCAAAGUGCCUUAUGGCAAGUUUUUAUAUAUUUAAAAGGUAAAUGUAAUGUCUAAGAAGACGGGUCAGGUUAAGUGGUUCAACGAGAGCAAAGGUUUUGGUUUCAUUGAACAGCACGACGGUGGUAAAGAUGUGUUUGUACAUUUCUCUGCUAUCAUGACCGACGGUUUCAAAACCCUGGCUGAAGGCCAGCGUGUUGAGUACACCAUUCAGGACAGCCCGCGCGGGCCGGCUGCCGCCAACGUUGUUGCCCUGUAAGUUCAGGAAAUAGCGU
rnacentral:sRNA from 1 species